rnacentral:lncRNA from 1 species
CCGCCGCGCCGCCGCCGCCGACGACGGCGCUCCCCGGCCCGCUGCUCGCCCCCGACGCGGUGCCGGCGCCCCCCAACAGGUCGUCGAUGCUCUGCGUCCGCAUCGGCGCGCCGCUCAUCGGUCGCCCGCCGCCGAGAAGGUCGUCCACGUUGGCGAAAUCGAACGCGUCGCCGGCCAUGCCGCUCUUUUUCUUCAUCGAGUUCGCGAGACCCGGCGCCGCGGGAGAGAACCCCAUCGCGGGGGAGCGCGAGCGCGCGGGGGAGGACGAGAAGAAGUCCAUCCCUCCG